rnacentral:sRNA from 1 species
UCAAGAGGCUGUGAGGCAGCUCAGCGUCUCCAUUAGAAUUCAGAGUAUUCCACGGUAAUUACAAAACAGCUGUAAUGGAAAAUUGGUAGUCAAACCCAUUUUCCAGCGACUAGAACGGUGAAUGGGCUCCAUUAUGUUCCUAAUUCUCAUUAACUUAAUUUGCAUAGGAAACAAUGAAGGAAUACAUAAUGAAGUACAGUGGGCCAGCAGCCCAGCCCUCACCCCCACAAUGCUGGGUUCAACUUGCACUGACCCACCCCACAGAGAGGGAGAAACCCAGGGCUCCCUGUGGACUGGACCUCCCCCAGGUGACCUGAAGCUGCCCUGAUGGAGCACAAUGGAGGGAUACCACUUGUCUGUAACUUGUUCAGGAUCCCUUUGCCUCAGCACACACCAUGUAAACCCUGAUUCUUCUCCACACCCCUGCUUUGGGGAAGGCUGAAGAACUGGAGCAGAAGGAAAAAGAACUUGUUUUUAGCUCUUCAGGUGCCAUAACUCUGCAUCCCAGAGAGAAAACAAACACCUGCUUGAGAAGCAGUAUUGUUGGUCCCUGUGUAAGAAACAACCAGACGACCCUCCAGAUACAAACACCUUCUCUUCCCUGCAGCCAGCACCACCCUCACAGUUUGGAGCCACAGCCUACCAUGUAUGCAGACAAUAGGAAACAGCAAUGCCUUUGUGCUUCAGGGAGAAGAGGAGAAGGGCAGGAGAGUAAAUGUGGUCGUGACGAAACACAAACCAUGCAAUGCCAUGCACAUCUUUUUCCUGUUGGAUAUCGGGAUGUAUUUGGCUCAAUAUCUAGUGCACGCACAGUAUCAGGCUCACAAAAAUAUGGAGAACUAACUGGAUACCUGAGAAGAGAAGAAGGGAAAGAAGAAGACUGGAGAUGCAAAUGCAUAGAGAACCUGGAGGCAGAAACUAGAGCAGAGGCCAUGGAGGAGCCAUACUACUGACUUACUCCCAGAUUCACACCUCUCAAGACCACCUGCCUAGAGAUAGCACAGCUCACAGUGAGCUGGGCACUCCCCCAUCAAUCAGCAAUCAAGAAAAGACCCUGAAGACAUGUCUACAAGCCAAUCCAAUGGGGGAAAAUUUUCAACUGGGGUUCACACAUCCAAAUGUGACAAGUUGACCACAAGGUGAGUUAGUCAUCACAGAUGUGAAAUCACUUUGUCAUAGCAUCAUUUUUUUUUCUAUCUCAAGAGGAACUGUAGGUUUUUCCUAUUUCAACGUCUCAAUGGAAGAAUGACUGUCUUGAACAUUAAAUUUGGACUUGAUCUUGCUUUCAGCCGCAGACUUCCUGAGAUGUUACAGCCAUAAUAAACAAACCUCCCUCCUGAUGCCCCAGUUCAGAAUUCCACAUGUGGAAGAGAUUAUUUCAUAGGCGACAUGGCGAAGAAUGAGGUAGCAUCUGAACAAUAAAGGUCUCAGAUCUAAUUUUCUGAACCCUACAAUAAGGUUGAUAACUGAGUGGCGGUUAGCAAUGCACCUUAGACUGAUUUGGCUUCUCUUUCCUCUUAGAACCCUGGGCACACCCAGUGGUAUCCAGAUCUCUCUAGGUAUGAGAUAGUUGAGACCCCAGACUGGGAUUGUAUUAGCCUACAUAAGUAGCUCUGGGUGUCUUGACCUUUCACAGUUACCAGAAUCAUCUGGACACGAUGUUGCAAAUCCCAGUAACUGGACCAGACCCUCCCUAGGUUUGUUAAUUUCAGAUGGCUAGUUUGUAGACUUAGCCAUAAUUAUUUUUGCUAAACUUCUGGCUAUCUCCAUCGUAACGAAUACCAGGAGUCACUGUUCUCCAUGAACCACAAAGGAAGAUCAUGUCUACAUGGAUUACCUAGUUCCAUCAUGUAAUAUUGCCUGAGUGAGUGAUCACAGAGACUUCGGUCUAAUACCACAAAGAGAAGAAUCUCCCAGAGUCCCCUGCGUAGAUGCCCUAGAACAAGGACUUAUGAAGAAUCAGUACUGCAUCCAGAGAAGACAGUGCAGUCCUGAAGCCAGAGCUUGGACACAGAGUCAAACUGAGGGCUGUGAAAUGUCAAGCUGCCAGGCAAAAUCUAAGGACCCCAGGCGAAGAGACGGUUUACCUGUAUUCAGAGCGAACCUUCCAAGCGCAGUGAAACCUUUCUGGAGACACCCUCACGGACAAUCACAAAAGUGUCUUUCUUAGUGAUUCCAAAUGUACUAAAGCUGACAAGAAAGAUCAUCCCGUCACACUGGGUUUGCUUCCAGUCUGCUCAGAGAAGGAUUUCCAAGUUUCUCCAGCUGUACUGAGGGGGAAGCUUGGUUCUGGAGCUAAGGAAGUUCAUCAUUUGGUAAAGAUCUUUCUGCAUUGUCACAUGUCGGAAGACAAAUGCCUGAGAGACAGAGAUCACACAAAUCAGUUCUUUUAUCAGGAACCCAUUCUGAGUUUAAUGAGCCUGAGAAUUUUCCUCCAGAGAACGUUUCCCAGAAUAUUACACAGCUUUGGAAACAAAUACCAGCUCCAGUUGUAUGGCCUGAAAACAUCAGUGUGGUCCUAAAGGAAACAAAUCCACCCUAAGGGAGUAUGAUAAGAACCCAACACAACUGUCUUGAGAGGCUUCAUCCAGACGCUGAUGGAAAUAAAUGUAGAGACCCACAGCCAAAACAUUAGACAGAGCAUGAGGAGUCUUGUGGAAGAGUCGGGGACAGGAUUGAGGGAUCCAGAGAGAUCAAGGCUACCACAAGAAGACCUACAGAGUCAACUAAGCUGGGCCCAUGGGGCUUCACAAAGACUGAACCACCAACCAAAAACCAUGUGUUUCUAUGUUUUCAUCAUUAUUUUCAUGAUAAUGCUAGAAGGAAACGUUGUUCUCAUGCCUCUAUAUAUGAAGGCAACCCAAAAGACAUGUGUCAACCUCUACAGCAGCAAGGAAAGGUUGGGAGUGGGAGGCCUCUCAAUACUUUCUGCUUCUCCAAGUGGCCAAACUCACCGGCAGAUCUUGCUGCAGCAAUGACAAGAAAGGUGCUUCCUGGUGAAGUCCUGGAUGAAGCCUAUGGAGAAGGGAAGGCUGCUGAGAACAUCCUGCCACCUCCCACAAUGCACCAAAAAAAGAAGCCUUGGUCUUUAAUGCCAGUCCUAAUUGAGUGGAUGGACCCCAUAGGUGAGCCCCAAAUUGGGAACCAUGGGAGGUUAGAAAUUAAACAGCAGCUUCAGUCUGCAAACUCAGAAACCUUGCAGGCUGGUGGGAGGAGGAGAAGAAACCAGAACUGGUUCUAUGCCCCGAUGCUCUCUGGUGUGGACAUACUGGUGUAGUUACCUGGUGGUGAAAUUUCAGGGCUCUCCAAAGGUAGAGCCACUCCAGCUUCUCACGGGGACUCUUAACAUUUCACAUACUAAACUAUCUCCUUAUACAGAUAGUGAUGAUGCUGAUAUACUGGGUAAAUUAUUUCCAUUUACAUUAAAAUUACACCUGCUUCAUCCAACGGGGAGGAGGACCAACAGGCUCUGGUGAAGUGGAUCAGAGUGAGAAGAAGCUUAACAGAAUUCUGAAAAGGAGCCUGGUUUGACUCUGAAAGUGUUCCGUAGGGAAAGAAGCCUCACCAGAAAUUGGCCAUGUGAAACAGAACUGAGAAUGGAGAAAAUUGCUUCCAGUUCCAGGUAGAGAGACCAAGAGACGCCUGGACUCUGGACGCAUUUUCUCAGCCAGUCAUUUCCAGCCAGGAGAAUCCUUGAAGCUUGGCUCAUCAUCUCAUGUUCGAAUCUUGAAUUUCAAGUAGAAAAGCAAUAGGCCGGAGCCGAAUGCUGUGAGCUCAGAAGCUGAAGACUCCUCUUCAUGCCCUCUUUUCUACCAGUAUCCAAACCAAACUGAAGCACAGUUAUAAUUGUCUGCAUCAUUGAAACUUGGGAACACUGGACUAGCAAUAUCUCUUUUAUUAUAUUUUAACCUCUUCCUUAUUAGAUCUAAUCACCCCUGAAACUCUAAGUUCCUCCUAAGGUACAAGCAUGAGCCACACAGCACAGUAGGACACAUUAGACUUCAAUUUUCGACCUACUCCUUUAGAUAUGCUUAACAAAGGAAAAUAAAUGGAGUAGUUGUGUAAUUUUUAGAUUUUCUCCACUCAGGUAAAUAUUUGGGGAGAGUGUAAAAGAACUAUAUAUUUAUCCCCCUAGCAAGAGAUUCCCCAGUGGAACCAUUUGCAGAAAUCUGAAAUGUAUUUCUGCACUUCAAAGGCGUAAAAGAUUGUCAUGUGACUCAUUCCUGGGAAGAUUAAGGGCAUUAGGACCCAGAGUCUGAACCCUGCUUGCAACUCCACAGAGAUUCAAUGGGACCAUGCUGAGAGCUAUCCUACCAGGCCAGGGCUUCCCUCCUAGAAUAGAACAGGGAGGCAUGUGUAGGUAUUCCUCAGGGACUAGAUGUGGGUCAUCAGAAAGAAGCAACCAAUGUGUUCUCCAGUUCUGUUACUGGCAGUAAGGGAACUAUCAACAGAAAGGCUGUCCCAUAGCAGGCUCCCCUAAACUGCAGAUAUGAGGUUGCACGCAGCUAUCCACUCAGCCUAGACCUACAAACAGAGCACCUUCCUUAUCCAUAAGGGUCUCUCAAGGGUCACUAACCUCAGUCCCCAGACAAUUUGAGUUGUCCUAUCUGCAUCUUAGCUCUACAUCCCAGGGCUUCAACUGGCUUGAAGAUAAAAGUUUUGAGGGAGAAUGCUUUCAGACAACACUCCUACACUGACUUAUAAUGGGAAGACAACCUUCAAAAACAAGACCAAACUUCCAGCUUAAACCAGAGCAUGUCAAAGUUGUCUGUCAACUGGUCUUCUAUUACAGCACAACCACUAACACCAGCAAAGAAAAUUGUUUUUAAUUAUUCUUGGGCCUUAUUUUUUAUCAUUUCAACAUCGAGAGGACACAAUCUCAAUUCGUAGUUAAUAAAAUCUACUCUUCCUACUCAGAAUAAGGUAUGGUAUAGAGAAAUUUUAAUCCAGCAACAUAGCUGCACUGGAAAAGGGUCACUUCCAAAGGCCUUCUGGGUCUGUGUGAUUCAGACACGCUUUUAAUCCCAGGAGACAGAAGCAAGCAGUUCUCUGAGUUCAAGGAUAGGAUGGCACAAAGAAAUCCCAGGUAAACAAAACUUAAGGUCCAGGCACGGUGGUACAUGUCUUUAGUCCUAGCACCCAGAAAACAGAGGUACGCAGAUCUCUGAGUUCUAAUCAGGCAGUUUGUCUGAGUCAGUGAGUUGAGAGUGAAGUUCAUGGCAGCUCAGUUUUUGUUUUGUUUUGU